ensembl:lncRNA
CACAUUUUCACCUCGUCCAAUCCGCAGGCUGCUUCACAAUAAGAGUUGACUGCCCGCUGUACGGAUGUCAGUUUCACUUCAUCAGCCGCUACAGCUCUGCUUGUUAAAAUUCCUCCACACCCACUGCCGACCGGACUCAUCGGUGAUCUGAGAGAACAUAACCACUUAUGGGCAAAGGAUUGAAUUCAGGUCAAGCUGGGUGAGCUUCGUUUUCCCUCCAGAAGAUGGCGACCUCGUCUCACACUAGAUGUCAAUUAUCUGUCUCAAUUUUAGUUGUGUCUCUCAUCAUCUGCUGUCAUGGGCAUCAUCUGCUGUCAUGCACCAACCGCCAAUUCCAAUUCCUUGUAUGUCU